UGGGGGAUCCACACUCGAAGUAGGUGGGAGAGUGCUGGAACACUAACGCAUGCCAUGGCCUCCCAUCAGAGGCAAUACCUUAUGCUUGACAAAUUGAGAAUUGGCAUCUAGUGACUUGGUUUAUUGAGAACUAGAUUAUAUAAAAAAUAUGUGUCCGGGAAAAACAUUUAAAUACUAUUUUGCCUGCCAGAGAGAAAUCUACCCUUAGUGGCUCACGGUGAUGUAGCUUAGAGAAGCUUAACCUUGCUGACUCUAUAUACAACAAAAUUAAUAAGGUGACCUUGAUGUUAGUCCACAAGAAAGGAACUUCUGGGGCUUUCCCUGACCAAUCUGUGAGAACCUGCCAACUGGAGAAACUAUACCAUACCAGGCUCUAGAACCUGUUGUCCAGGCCUCCCUAGAAUUCCCCAAUCUGAAACCAAAGGUAUCUUACAGCAAAAUAACAUGGUGAAAGGAUAAGAGAGUUGAACAAGCAGCAUAUGAAGUGAAGUUAUUUUAGAAUUCCACUGCUUUGGAGAAAUGGGGUCUUCAGCUGAGGCUAAGAGCCUAUCUAGUGCACCACACUGCGUGAAGCCAGCUUCGUGCAAUGGAUGCGUUUGGCAUUUACCAACAGUGAACAAGCACGAGCAGUGGAAUGCAAAAAUGUGUGCUGAUCAAAUGAACGUGAAAAUCUUCACCCAGGUCACCCGCCAGAAUCAGACUAAGGUCCCUGCUAUUUAAUGGAAAGGUUAAAAGAAGUUUACAGCUUUAAUGCCUGUGGCACACUGAUUACUUAAGAUUUUGAGGAUUAAAGCCUAUGAGAGCCUUUCGAGCAAGUUU
rnacentral:lncRNA from 1 species